UACGUAGGUGGCAAGCGUUGUCCGGAUUUAUUGGGUUUAAAGGGUGCGUAGGCGGUUCCAUAAGUCAGUGGUGAAAUACAAUAGCUUAACUAUUGAGGUGCCAUUGAUACUGCGGAACUUGAGUACAGACGAGGUAGGCGGAAUUGACAGUGUAGCGGUGAAAUGCAUAGAUAUUGUCAAGAACACCGAUUGCGAAGGCAGCUUACUAGACUGUAACUGACGCUGAGGCACGAAAGUGUGGGGAUCAAACAGG
rnacentral:rRNA from 1 species